UUGGAGAAAUUCGACGUUUGUUUCUGAAAGACUACUUCGUAGAAUCGUAGUCUAUGGUAACCUUAUUGUAGUCUAUGGUGUUUAUACGGUUUGUCCUUUCUUUAUAUAAUUGGAUUAUCAACAGAUGCAGGAACAAGAACAAACCUGAUAAACAAACGGAAAUGAGAAGACAACUUAUGGAGACACGCAAGCAUAACCUGCCGGAGAUUCAGAUAGUAUGUCUUGCACUCUAUUGCUCAAGUUCUGACCGUGAACAUGGAAUUCUUAGCAACAAUAUUGAGCCGAGACUUGCAGCCAGAUGUUAAAAGAUUUGAAGCACUUUUAACUGAAACUCACAAAGACUAAAGUACACAUAGAAUAUAACUAAGAAUGAACAAGGAAGGAACGCGAAAGGCAACUGAAACUACAAGUAGGCUCCUAUCAUCAAUUCUUUGAUUAAAAUCGUCGUUCUGCUGGAUGCUUUAUCCUGUUGCUACAGUUCAUAUUCUAUUGGCGAUCUGGAGUUUCUAAAUUCUAAUGAUGUUGGUAGAUCACUAACCCCAGCGUGGACAACACAUGUUGUUUUUUUCAUGUUUUCUACAAAUAAUGCAUUGACAGACAAGCCAUGGGUAAUCUUCAGGUUAAUUGCAGCAACUUGGGACUUGCGAGAAGUCCUGUGAAAAGACACAGGGCACAUGACCAGAUUUGUAUUUUUCUGAAUGUUCUACUCAAGUAGUAGGGAACAACUAACUUUACCUUAUUGCAUGAAUGUUGGAAUAUUUAUUGAAAUAUUUCCUAUAGUAUUCAACAUGACUAAUUUGUUAUGCCAAAGUUAGUUGGAACCCUAACUCAAACACAGACAACACGUUGCUGCUGCCUUACAGCCACAGGCAGGAAAAUGAUUCUUUUCUUCACAAAAUUGGAAAGCUGCUGGAGUAAUCUAGUACCCAUCCCCACUUGAUUCAUUUCGUGCCAGCAGCUAGUGAAUGGCGUGACGAAUUCAAAUUUAGCUGCUGCGUGCUGUCUGCAAGCAAGCAAUCCAAUUGACUGUCGCUAGGUGGCGCGAGUGUCUUCAGGGGACCAAAUCCGGCCAUUUUGUCCCUUGACGCAGCAGAAGUGGGAUGCCGGUCGUGACGUUUGGCAUGAUGAAAAUGCGAUUUCAAUACCAAUUUCUCAAAUCAUUAACUCGGACUUGAGUGCCUGUUCAUUUUGUCGAAAUGUCGUGCCUCGUGUGUCUUGCCGCCUGUACCCGUACGUCUCGUCCCAUGCAAAAGCAAAAGUCUAACAAUCCCGCUUCUUGGUGCAGCCAGAUGGUGAAAGGUGUGAUGAAGACAACUUCAACUGUUGUAUGCAGGAUGUGGUGCCAGUGUUAUGCAGAAGUAGCUGUGCUGGAAGUGUCAUAACGAAGUAGCUGUGCCAGAAUUUUUCCAAGUUGCUAACUUCAAAAUUUUAACUGUUUUCAUAUGUGUGGUUUGCUUUGCAAGUGGUAUCCCGUGUUGCUGACUUUAAAUAUUUUUAUUCGUUUUUAUUUGUGGUUUUGCUCUGCCAGUGAGUUGCUGACUUGAAUUGGUUUCAUCUUUUGUUUGUUUACUUGUGCAGUAUACGAUUGUGGCAAUCUGACCCCAUGUCAGAUUUGACAUAGUCGACAACUGCUAGAUUAAAUUCCGGCUUUCUGCACCAACAAAAUAAUAACGGCACAUGUUAU